UGGGGAAUAUUGGACAAUGGGCGGAAGCCUGAUCCAGCAACGCCGCGUGAGGGAUGAAGGCCUUCGGGUUGUAAACCUCUUUUAGCAGGGAAGAAGAUCGGAAAGUGACGGUACCUGCGAAAAAGCACCGGCUAACUACGUGC
rnacentral:rRNA from 1 species